UCCUUCUUAGCUCAGUUGGUAGAGCGCGUCACUAGUAAUCUUGCAAUUAUGUGAUGACGAGGUCAAUCGUUCGAGUCGGUUAGAAGGAA